UACGGAGGGAGCUAGCGUUGUUCGGAAUUACUGGGCGUAAAGCGCACGUAGGCGGCUAUUCAAGUCGGGGGUGAAAGCCCGGGGCUCAACCCCGGAACUGCCCUCGAAACUAGGUAGCUAGAAUCUUGGAGAGGCGAGUGGAAUUCCGAGUGUAGAGGUGAAAUUCGUAGAUAUUCGGAAGAACACCAGUGGCGAAGGCGGUUGCCUGGGGCUUUGCUGACGUCUGAUGCGCGAAAGGCGUGGGG
rnacentral:rRNA from 1 species